rnacentral:lncRNA from 1 species
CCAUUGGAGAAUCAUCUAUCGACAUGCUGUAAGGCUUCAUCAGAUAUUCUUUCAUGGGUCAGUUCAGUAAACUCAUUCUUCAAUGAGUACCUAUAUCCUUGUAUUAGUGUCACCACACAAGUGAUUGUGAGAUCAACCACCCUCUCCAUCGAGCAUACAUGGGAUGCACCAGUCUUACCGACAUCAUCAAUCUUCGACUCGAUGAUCUAAUGACUAAAAAUAUUUUAGAUUGGGGCUAUCAAAAUUUUAGAUCUCACUGACAUGAUCUCAUCAUGACCUUAAAAUCAUAUCCCUAAUCUAUAAGGUUUAUCACAAUCAUAAAAAUAUGAUGCAGCAAAUGAUAAAACACAAUACCUCAUGAAUAAAAUAACUAAUGUCAUGCAAAUGAGUAGGAAGAUAUCACAAAAAAAUUCCUUCACAUCACCCAUA